GGAAACGUGCCUGAAAGACAAGGACCUCCUUGAUAGGGAGAAGCAUAUGGGUUCAAACCCCCUCGUUUCCU
rnacentral:tRNA from 1 species